AGAUUAAGUUAUUAAGGGCGCACGGUGGAUGCCUUGGCACUAGAAGCCGAUGAAGGACGUUACUAACGACGAUAUGCUUUGGGGAGCUGUAAGUAAGCUUUGAUCCAGAGAUUUCCGAAUGGGGAAACCCAGCAUGAGUUAUGUCAUGUUAUCGAUAUGUGAAUACAUAGCAUAUCAGAAGGCACACCCGGAGAACUGAAACAUCUUAGUACCCGGAGGAAGAGAAAGAAAAUUCGAUUCCCUUAGUAGCGGCGAGCGAAACGGGAAGAGCCCAAACCAACAAGCUUGCUUGUUGGGGUUGUAGGACACUCUAUACGGAGUUACAAAGGACGACAUUAGACGAAUCAUCUGGAAAGAUGAAUCAAAGAAGGUAAUAAUCCUGUAGUCGAAAAUGUUGUCUCUCUUGAGUGGAUCCUGAGUACGACGGAGCACGUGAAAUUCCGUCGGAAUCUGGGAGGACCAUCUCCUAAGGCUAAAUACUCUCUAGUGACCGAUAGUGAACCAGUACCGUGAGGGAAAGGUGAAAAGCACCCCGGAAGGGGAGUGAAAUAGAACCUGAAACCGUGUGCUUACAAGUAGUCAGAGCCCGUUAAUGGGUGAUGGCGUGCCUUUUGUAGAAUGAACCGGCGAGUUACGAUUUGAUGCAAGGUUAAGCAGUAAAUGUGGAGCCGUAGCGAAAGCGAGUCUGAAUAGGGCGUUUAGUAUUUGGUCGUAGACCCGAAACCAGGUGAUCUACCCUUGGUCAGGUUGAAGUUCAGGUAACACUGAAUGGAGGACCGAACCGACUUACGUUGAAAAGUGAGCGGAUGAACUGAGGGUAGCGGAGAAAUUCCAAUCGAACCUGGAGAUAGCUGGUUCUCUCCGAAAUAGCUUUAGGGCUAGCCUCAAGUGAUGAUUAUUGGAGGUAGAGCACUGUUUGGACGAGGGGCCCCUCUCGGGUUACCGAAUUCAGACAAACUCCGAAUGCCAAUUAAUUUAACUUGGGAGUCAGAACAUGGGUGAUAAGGUCCGUGUUCGAAAGGGAAACAGCCCAGACCACCAGCUAAGGUCCCAAAAUAUAUGUUAAGUGGAAAAGGAUGUGGCGUUGCCCAGACAACUAGGAUGUUGGCUUAGAAGCAGCCAUCAUUUAAAGAGUGCGUAAUAGCUCACUAGUCGAGUGACACUGCGCCGAAAAUGUACCGGGGCUAAACAUAUUACCGAAGCUGUGGAUUGUCCUUUGGACAAUGGUAGGAGAGCGUUCUAAGGGCGUUGAAGCAUGAUCGUAAGGACAUGUGGAGCGCUUAGAAGUGAGAAUGCCGG
rnacentral:rRNA from 1 species